rnacentral:rRNA from 1 species
CAGCAGCCGCGGGAAUACGGAGGGAACUAGCGUUGUUCGGAAUUACUGGGCGUAAAGCGCACGUAGGCGGUUAUUCAAGUCAGAGGUGAAAGCCCGGGGCUCAACCCCGGAACUGCCUUUGAAACUAGAUGACUGGAAUCUUGGAGAGGUCAGUGGAAUUCCGAGUGUAGAGGUGAAAUUCGUAGAUAUUCGGAAGAACACCAGUGGCGAAGGCGACUGACUGGACAAGUAUUGACGCUGAGGUGCGAAAGCGUGGGGAGCAAACAGGAUUAGAUACCCCAGUAGUCCCUGUCUCUUAUAC